UACGUAGGGACCAAGCGUUGUUCGGAUUUACUGGGCGUAAAGGGCGCGUAGGCGGCUUAACAAGUCACUUGUGAAAUCUCCGGGCUUAACUCGGAACGGCCAAGUGAAACUGUCAAGCUAGAGUGCAGAAGGGGCAAUCGGAAUUCUUGGUGUAGCGGUGAAAUGCGUAGAUAUCAGGAGGAAUACCGAUGGCGAAGGCAGGUCUCUGGGCUGACACUGACGCUCAUGCACGAAAGCGUGGGGAGCAAACAGG
rnacentral:rRNA from 1 species